rnacentral:rRNA from 1 species
AUUGAACGCUGGCGGCGUGCCUAACACAUGCAAGUCGAGCGGCAGCGCGGGAGCAAUCCUGGCGGCGAGCGGCGGACGGGUGAGUAACGCUUGGGAAUCUGCCUGUUAGUGGGGGACAACCCGGGGAAACUCGGGCUAAUACCGCAUACGCACUACGGUGGAAAGCCGGGGACCGCAAGGCCUGGCGCUAACAGAUGAGCCCAAGUCGGAUUAGCUAGUUGGUAGGGUAACGGCCUACCAAGGCGACGAUCCGUAACUGGUCUGAGAGGACGACCAGUCACACCGGAACUGAGACACGGUCCGGACUCCUACGGGAGGCAGCAGUGGGGAAUAUUGGACAAUGGGGGAAACCCUGAUCCAGCGACGCCGCGUGGGUGAAGAAGGCCUGCGGGUUGUAAAGCCCUUUCGGCAGGGACGAAGCGUGAGUGACGGUACCUGCAGAAGAAGCACCGGCCAACUACGUGCCAGCCGCCGCCGUAAC